rnacentral:rRNA from 1 species
GACGAACGCUGGCGGCGUGCUUAACACAUGCAAGUCGAACGGAAAGGCCCUGGCUUUGUCGGUUGGUCGAGUGGCGAACGGGUGAGUAACACGUGAGUAACCUGCCCUUGACUCUGGGAUAACUUCAGGAAACUGGGGCUAAUACCGGAUAGGAGCUCUUGCUGCAUGGUGGGGGUUGGAAAGUUUCGGCGGUUGGGGAUGGACUCGCGGCUUAUCAGCUUGUUGGUGGGGUAGUGGCUUACCAAGGCGUUGACGGGUAGCCGGCCUGAGAGGGUGACCGGCCACACUGGGACUGAGACACGGCCCAGACUCCUACGGGAGGCAGCAGUGGGGAGUAUUGCACAAUGGGCGGAAGCCUGAUGCAGCAACGCCGCGUGCGGGAUGACGGCCUUCGGGUUGUAAACCGCUUUCGGCAGGGAAGAAGCGAAAGUGACGGUAAUUGGUGAAGAAGCGCCGGCUAACUACGUG